GAUGAACGCUGGCGGCGUGCCUAAUACAUGCAAGUCGAGCGAACGGACGAGAAGCUUGCUUUUCUGAUGUUAGCGGCGGACGGGUGAGUAACACGUGGAUAACCUACCUAUAAGACUGGGAUAACUUCGGGGAACCGGAGCUAACACCGGAUAAUAUUUUGAACCGCAUGGUUCAUCAGUGAAAGACGGUCUUGCUGUCACUUAUAGAUGGAUCCGCGCUGCAUUAGCUAGUUGGUAAGGUAACGGCUUACCAAGGCAACGAUGCAUAGCCGACCUGAGAGGGUGAUCGGCCACACUGGAACUGAGACACGGUCCAGACUCCUACGGGAGGCAGCAGUAGGGAAUCUUCCGCAAUGGGCGAAAGCCUGACGGAGCAACGCCGCGUGAGUGAUGAAGGUCUUCGGAUCGUAAAACUCUGUUAUUAGGGAAGAACAUAUGUGUAAGUAACUGUGCACAUCUUGACGGUACCUAAUCAGAAAGCCACGGCUAACUACGUG
rnacentral:rRNA from 1 species